AUUUGGCAGGCGACUCAAGAAGGCAGUGGAGCGAAGUCCGUGUUUGCUGUAUUUCGCUCUCGAACGACGGGUGUUGAAGAAAAUGAUGGAUCAUGUUUCACAAUGUUGCAAGAAAAUAAAUACGGUAUACGACGAAGAAGCGUGUUAUAGUGAGUGCAAUAUUAGUGCGUCGUAUUAGUGCACUGAUAAAAAUGAAUGUGAACGAUGUGUCUGCAAACGAGGCCACAAAAAAUGAAGCACCGCUCCGAAUUUCACAGUAUUGUUUAAUGUUAUCAGCUCCAUUUGCGCACUUGCUACAUUUCGCAAUAAAUCGGUGAAAACAAUAUCGACAGUAUUUAUGUCGUUAUUAAGCUUCACCGAAUGUAAAAGUUAUCA